AUUUGGAAAGAAUUUUCAGCUUAUUGAUGCUUGAUUCAUUCUUCAGUAGCUGUACAACUGUGCCUCUGUUACAUUUUAACAGUUUAAUACUUUAACUGGCCCCAGCCAUCUGCUCUGGGUUUGGUACUUAAAGAAGCUCCUCAGAUAACACAUUAUCCAUCAUGAGCUACAUACUGAUACAAUAGAUAGAACACUAAGAGACUGUACCGGAAUAAAAUAAGACAUUUAUGCCAGAAUUCUUGGCUAUAUGAUAUCUUAAUACUUUAUCAGGGGUAUAAAACUAAACAUUAAAAGUACUUAAAUGCUCAGCUGAAACCAGACUCCAACUUGAAAAGGCAGUGUGUUAUCAUGGAAAGAUUGCUAGGCUUAAAGUCAGGCAAGAUCUAGUUGUGAAUCCUGCUUCUGACUUAAUACUAAUAGUAUGACCUCAAAUGAAUCUGUUUUUCUCAUUCAUAGUAUAAAGGUAAUUGUAUCAACUUCAUAGGGCUGUUAUAAUGAGUGGCUGAAAAUAAUUAUAUAUAAAGCACCUUGCAAAUCUUAAAAGUAUUAUAUAAAAGCAAGCUACUAAAAUGCUAUUGAUGUAAGUUGGAAUUGUAGAAAUGACACAAAUUCCUGAGAGGAUGCCCAUUUUUCAUAAAAGCAAAAUUGAUGUAUCAACUGAAUGUUAAUUGUCACAGCAUAAAAAAGAUUAGGUCAUAUAUUGUUCAUAACUAUAGCUAGGAAAAGAAUUAAAGGACAGAGAAAUAAAGAUUAGGAAGCAGAGUCAAGAUGGUGAAGAAAAGACAGCAAUGUGCCAGAGCUCUCCCCAAAUCCUGCGCCCCUAAAUAUAAUGUCAAAACAAUUCCAGAAACAGAAUUCACAUAAAGAUGAGGUGAAAUAAUUUUCUAGCCAAAGACUACUUAGAAGGUCAGCAGGAAAGAUCGAUCCCACCUGGCUGAGAGUGGAGCAAAAUCCAGUGCUAGCUGUGCCGGCACAAUCCCAACCCCUUCCCUAGCAAGCUAGGAGUAGGUCUUGGUAGCUGCUUAAUCAGCAGUAGCAAUGGUUCCAGAGCUCUCAGCCUACAGAUAGUAAAGUCAAACAAUUGGUCAGAAGGAGAUAAUGGGUCUUUUUUCUGGCCCUGACACAGGACUCUUGUUUUGCCCAUAAUUCUAUGAGAAUCACGUGCACUAGCACACCAGAGCUUGUGACCAUAGUAGAGCAAGGACCCUCAUCACAGUUUCAUGAUGGAAAAGAAUGCUUGUGGUCACAGAUCAGAGCACAGGCCAGAAAAUUAGCAAACAUUUCUCCUAUCACACCACCUUGGAAGAAAAGUCUAAUAAUAGACUGGGAAAAUGAGCAAACAGAAGAAAAUAAUGAUCAUAGAAAAUUACCAUGAUGACAAGGAAGAUCAAAACACUCAGAAGAAAAUAACAGUCAAAGCUACAUCUAAAGCCUCCUAAAGCCUCCCAAGAAAAUUAGGGAUUGGUCUCAGAUCAUAGAAAAGCUCACAAAGGAUUUUGAGUCAUGUAAGAGGUAGAGGAAAAAAAGAGAGGUAGAGGAAGAGAAAUGAAAGUGAUGUGUGAAAAAGUCAUGAAAAAAAAAAAAAGACUUGCUUUGUAAAGGAGAUGCAAAAAAUACAGAAGAAAAUAACGCCUUUAAAAACAGACUAGGCCAAAUAUUAAAGGAAGUACCAAAAAAGCCAAUUUGGAGAAUUCCUUAAAAAACAACUAGCAAGGGGCAGCUAGGUGGCGCAGUGGAUAGAACACCAGCCCUGAGGUCUGGCCUGAGUUCAAAUUUGCCCUCAAGACACUUAACAAGUCCUAGCUGUGUGAUCUUGGGCAAGUCACUUAACCCCAAUUGCCCCAGCAAAAAAAAAAAAAUAAAAUAAAACUGGCAAAAUGGAAAGAGGCACAACAAUUCACUGAAGGAAAAAACUCACAAAGUAGAAUUGGCUAAAUGGAAAAGGAGAUACAAAGACUCGCUGAAGAAAAGAAUUCCUUAAAAAUUACAAUUGAGCAAAUGGGAAGUUAAUGACAUUAUGAGAAAUAAAUACUAAAAAUCAAAAGAUUUUUAAAAACCCUAAAAUGUCUCAAUGAUUUUUUUUUAAAUUGACUUGAAAAAUAAUCUGGGAGAUAAUUUUAAAAUUAUUGGACUAUCUAAAAGCCAUUAUUUAAAAAAACAAACAAACCAAAAAACCCAAACCAAGACAUCUUCCAAGAAAUUAUCAGGGAAAACUGUCCUGAUAGUCUAAAACCAUUUGGUAAAAUGGAAAUUGAAAGAAUUCACCAAUUACUUGCUGAAAGAGAUCCCAUAAAGAAGGGAAUAUUGCAAGUAGCCAAAAAGAAACAAUUCAAUUAUCAUGGAGCCCCAGUCAGGAUAACGCAUGGUUUACAUUAAAGGAUCAGAGGGCUAGAAAUAUACCCAG
ensembl:lncRNA